AGCCAUAGUCGUAGCCGUGAGCCAGCUGUCAGUAAUUCUAUAAUGAAAAUUUAACCAACUUUGGCAAACACAAAUAUGAAAUUAUCCGUUUGGUUUAUCUUGAUGCAAUUGCUGCCAAUGGCGAUGCUGAUGCUGGUACCCACAAGCCACAAAGGAGACGCCUCUGUGGCCAAGUCCCAGAAAGACAACUCUGUGACCAACCUAGGGACGAGCUCCUGCCUUGCGGGGUGCCUCAAGGCGAGCAACAUCAGCAGUGUGGACCCGCCGACAGAGUGUCCACAGUAUGAGAGGACCCUCGACUGCACACUGAUCUGCUUGUUCCAGCAUUAGCUGCAUACAAACAACGGCCAGAACUUUAUCCUGCAUAAAUUCACAAGAGCCUCUUGGGCAUCAUUCACUCUUUAUCUACCUCAUGGACCGCUUUUUGGCCUGUUUGGCCUAUCACCUUCAUUUCAGCCGUAAGCGAAUUAAGCGUAAAUGCAUUUCGUUGUACAAAAUAAAAGCGCAGCCCCACAAGCUUUGCCGAAAUGCAAAUCAAUUACGUGUACCAUUAAUUUUAAUUGCAUGUUACACAUUUCGAGUAUACACAAAAGGCUGGCAAAACCCAACUGUCGGCUUGGCUCAUAUAUCAUUUAGAAUGUCAAAUGCCAGAGGAGCGGUUGGGGCAGGAGCAAAUAUUUGGCAUUUACACAUCCGGAUGCCAUGCCGGCUGAAUCCUCGUGUGCUGCUCCGACAAGUUCAAACAAAAACACCAAAAAAAAAAAAAAAACCAGCAGAAAAAGGAGACAACCAAAUGGCGAGUACCCAUUAUUCGGGAGCCUUGAAAAACGGGCAUGGCAGAUCAACAAAUUUGCAAGGGUAUCCAAAGUGCAACAGUCCAAUCCCCUUUUCGAAUAUCAAAGGUUGAGCCUGCAGCAAAAGACCGGACCCAGACCGAGACCCUGCGGCUGUGGCAAUUAAUCAUUGCCACAUGCGUUGAGUGUGACCUUUUUGAAGGCAACUCCUGCUGCUGCUGUUGCUGCUGUUGCUGCUGUUGAUGCUCCUCUUGCUGCGACGACAUGUGAGUUAAUUAAUCUAACUGCCCAACGGCUGUCAGACUGCAGACGAGGACAAUAGUAGAAGGAAGGUCAUGGACUGUUAUUAAACACGCCGCUCGAUGAUGAAGGGGAUUUCGGCAGCACCACCCCCUGACCGUCAGCACUUCCUCGGCAAACCCACCUGGCUGACGCGGCGCAUAAAUUUCAAUUUGUUCCACCGUCUGGUCGGUUCAGGGAGGAUGGGGUGCGGGUCUAUGCAUUUAAAUUGAUGUUGCUUCUGGCUGCAUAUGCGAAAAGUUGUUCGCGCCACGGCCCAAUGCACAAUUAGUGGACCGAGGCACAUAAAUUAUGUGGUCCCCCAACCGAAAGGGGGAAAUGAAGGCGGAAAUGAUUGCCUCGAAGGGCGAACAAGCAGACGAAUGUGCAAAAUGGCAACCGAAAUUCGCUGAUGCGAUGCGGUCGGUCGGUCAGUCAGCUAAAAUAUGCAUAGAGUGUUGCCUGCUUUUAGGCCCAGCAAGGACUCGUCGCGAGACAGCGAACAAUCAAUGAGAGAGGUAAUCCAUUCGCGAAUGCCAUCAUGACGUGACUCUGCAAGUGAUCACGUACCCAUCCCCAUCAGGGCUGCAGGAUUUCCGCAAUUACUUUAACCGCGCCAUACAUACAUAUAGUACAUAUGAGUAUGCGUAUGUCUAUGGCAUUUAUGAGCAAUAUUUCGGCAUUGUAGGCUUAACUCUGUUAUAAAUAUCGUCCCCACAUGAUGUUUAAAGCCUCGGGGUCUGACUUUAAACAAUAAAUUUGUAUAUCAAGUCAGCUGGCGGUGGAGCGGGGUCUAAUAAAUCGAAUAAAAUAAAAAGAAGUCCUUUGUCUCUCAAC